rnacentral:rRNA from 1 species
AUUGAACGCUGGCGGCAUGCCUUACACAUGCAAGUCGAACGGUAACAGGUCUUCGGAUGCUGACGAGUGGCGCACGGGUGCGUAAUACAUCGGAACGUGCCCGAUCGUGGGGGAUAACGGAGCGAAAGCUUUUCUAAUACCGCAUACGAUCUACGGAUGAAAGCAGGGGACCUCAAGGCCUUGCGCGGACGGAGCGGCCGAUGGCAGAUUAGGUAGUUGGUGGGAUAAAAGCUUACCAAGCCGACGAUCUGUAGCUGGUCUGAGAGGACGACCAGCCACACUGGGACUGAGACACGGCCCAGACUCCUACGGGAGGCAGCAGUGGGGAAUUUUGGACAAUGGGCGAAAGCCUGAUCCAGCCAUGCCGCGUGCAGGAUGAAGGCCUUCGGGUUGUAAACUGCUUUUGUACGGAACGAAAAGACUCUGGCUAAUAAAGAGGGUACAUGACGGUACCGUAAGAAUAAGCACCGGCUAACUACGUG